rnacentral:rRNA from 1 species
CAGCCGCCACGGUAAAACGUAGGGUGUGAGCGUUAAUCGGAAUUACUGGGCGUAAAGCGUGCGCAGGCGGUUUGUUAAGACAGAUGUGAAAUCCCCGGGCUUAACCUGGGAACUGCAUUUGUGACUGGCAAGCUAGAGUCUGGCAGAGGGGGGUGGAAUUCCGCGUGUAGCAGUGAAAUGCGUAGAUAUGCGGAGGAACACCGAUGGCGAAGGCAGCCCCCUGGGCCAACACUGACGCUCAUGCACGAAAGCGUGGGGAGCAAACAGGAUUAGAUACCCCGGUAGUCCCUGUCUCUUAUAC